rnacentral:lncRNA from 1 species
CAAAAUAAAAGCAAUUAAAAUAAAGAAAAAAACUGAAGGCAAGGGUGUAAUAGCAAGCACCAGGGGGUGUGCAAAUCAUUAAGGUGCAGAGCCCAUCAGAAGGCCCAAGGUGGCCUUGGCUUAGUCAUGACAGAGGGAUAAUAUAUCAAUAAAGGGGUUUCAAUAGCAAACAAUGGGCGAAGAGGCCCAUAGGCCCAAUGUGCAGUUACCCAAGAGAGAAAGAGAGGCAUCAGCAUGGUGUAAUUCAUUUCCAUUCAACCUCAUAACCCGAGCUUGGUCACCGGAACCCAGAACCUCGUCGUGUCGAAAAUCGCCUUCGGCGGUGGCGGGGGCCCAAACACUCUCAAAUUUACGCCAUUUGAUUCAUCCUCUAACCCUCUCUUUUGUCCCCUACUUAGUUUUUCCUAAUUACCAGCCUAAUCCUUGAAUCAACCCACACAUUACAUAAACCCUAAUUUCCCAAGUCCAAAUUAAAUGCAAAUGAAGCAUGAUCCGGACUCCAAAGCUUAGGGUUAUGGAUCCUCAACAAUCGUUAUAUGAGAUGGUAAUAAAAUUUGGAGGAAAUCAGAGAAAAGAGAAGCCUGCCUUUAGAAUGGUGGCUUUCUCUUAGCAUUGUUGCAACGAGGAAGAAGAAUAUUGAGUUAGAAUUCCAGAGAAAACUUCAAUCCAGAUAAGUGAUUCCUACUUCAGUGUAACUUGUUUCUUCUUCUUUUCCCUGAAUUCUUAGUAUGUAUGCUUUGAUAUGGUAACUGCGAUUGUGUGUUACGCAUGUGAAUAAUGUAAUAAAGUGAUUUAGGUUCAGAGAAAUUGAGCUCAAAACCAAACCAGAGAGUGAUAAGAAUUUGAGAGAUCUCGUGUCAAUAGUUGGAGAGUGAUUUCUGGAAAAGUGAAAAUACCCCCCUAAUGAUUUAGAAAUGAUUGGUUAUAUAGAGGGGAGUGAUGCUAACAGAAUGGGGCAGUUAGGUCAGGGGCGUUAAGGGAAUGUAAAUCUGUUAGUUUUUUAGUGGUUUUGGUUGUUAGCAGUUAACGAUUAUGUCAGCCUCUGUUAACUUUGGUUUUUGAAUUCAGUUAUGAUUUUAGACUCUAAGUUAGUGUUAGUUGCGGUUAGUUAUUUAGGAAAGAGUUAAAAUCUAUUUGAAUUGUUAGUUAUGAUAUCAAUUAGUGAAUGAGAGCAUUGUUAAGUUGAGUUGGUUCAGUUAGAAGGUUAGUGAAAUGAAAUAAAGUUGGAUUGUCAUUGCUUGAAUGGAUGGUGUGAUAUUGGUUUAGUUAGCCAACGGUAAUUGUUAUGAAUUUCCCAAAGGGUUGAAUCUGGUGCAAAUUGGUUCUUCCUCUUCAUGCUCUUGAAUGCAGCAACUUGUCCAUGUAUUUUUUUAUGCAAACUAGACUACUGAUAUGUUGUAUGUAGGUAGUUUUUACACUUGCUGGUUUGGGUUUUUUUAUGGCUAUGCAGAGAUGCUUGAAUCAAUUUCUAUGAUUCUAAGGUGAUAGUUAACCAACUGUUAGGGUGAAGUAGUGUUUUAAAAGUUGUGAAUUGAUAUGGGCCUGAUGCUUGUUGUGAAUCACAUUGGACUGUGAGACUGUUAAUGAUCUGAACUAUUGAUAUGGAAUUUAGUGGCAUACUGUCAUGGAAAUUUAUUCCGAUGAGCAUCAAUUAUCAAAUUGAGAAAACCUCAUGGUAAAUGCUUGUUAAAGUAAUUGGAAGGUCAAAAUUAGUCAUGGAGGAAAAAUGGUUAGUUAGCAAAGGAUAGUGUAAUAUUGCAGUUAAUCAGUGAUGAAGUGGUUUGUAUGCUUUUUGUUUUAUACCUUACUUUGUUAUAUGUUGGACUUUAAGUGAGAAAUUAGGAUUGAAUUGUUAGUGUAUGACUGCUAAUUGUAGCGUCUGUUUUUGCAGGGCAUGUAUGCACAUGCGGAUGAGGAAAGACAAGGCUAGGAAUGGUUUGGAGUCAUGGCAUGAGGACACUUAGAGCACAUGAAGAAGACUUGGAAGGCUUGUUAUUAAAGAAUAGGACUAGGGUUUAGGAAUAGAACUAGGUAGUUUACUUUGGUCAGUUAUUUGAUCAAAAAGUCAACACUAGACCAAAAGUUAAUUGUAGGUCAAACAUGUGUAAUUUUGAGUAGAAUUUGCAAUUUAGAUCUUUUGUAAUGUAAAUGAAAGGCUUGUAUAUUAAGAAAGAUGAACUUUCCCUCUAAAACCUAUAUUUUGAAAGUUUGAAAUGUGUUUGCAAUAACAUCUUGAUCUUGAAUGUGAAUGUGCCAUGAUAUGCCUUGAAUCUAAAA